rnacentral:rRNA from 1 species
UACGAAGGGGGCUAGCGUUGUUCGGAAUCACUGGGCGUAAAGCGCACGUAGGCGGAUCCUUAAGUCAGGGGUGAAAUGCCGAGGCUCAACCUCGGAACUGCCUUUGAUACUGGGGAUCUCGAGUCCGGGAGAGGUGAGUGGAAUUGCGAGUGUAGAGGUGAAAUUCGUAGAUAUUCGCAAGAACACCAGUGGCGAAGGCGGCGCUCUGGACCGAGACUGACGCUGAGGCGCGAAAGCGUGGGGAGCAAACAGG